UACGAAGGGUGCAAACGUUGCUCGGAAUUAUUGGGCGUAAAGCGCACGUAGGCGGUAUCGCAAGUCCCAUGUGAAAGCCCACGGCUUAACCGUGGAAGUGCAUGGGAAACUGCAGUGCUUGAGUACUUAAGAGGAUCGCGGAAUUCCCGGUGUAGAGGUGAAAUUCGUAGAUAUCGGGAGGAACACCAGUGGCGAAGGCGGCGAUCUGGGAAGAUACUGACGCUGAGGUGCGAAAGCGUGGGGAGCAAACAGG
rnacentral:rRNA from 1 species